rnacentral:lncRNA from 1 species
GUCGUCUUCCCGGGUCCGACAUCUUAUCCGUAUCUGGUUGUUUUAUCGACUGUUUUCUCCAAAUCCUCUUCGCCUUUAACUCCAUUUUUAACAUUAUCAGGAAUGUUUAUCCGACGUUUUUGCACUUUGGCGCUGACUUUUGUUUUCCGCCAUUCGUUCCAGCUCGGAAUUUGGAACGUUAUUCUGCCCCCAUGGCUGGAUAGGUCCUUUAUCCAAUUACCGUAUCUUUAUCUAUUGUACUUUGGGUUAUUGUCGUCUCCGUUAUUCUUAUCUGUGUCGACUGGGUAUGCGCUGACGUCAUCUAAAUAUCUACUGUAUUAACUAACCGUCUGUUUUCUAAUUAUUACGCGUAUUUGGCUGACAGAAUUUUAAUACGGAUUAAAGUUAACGUAUUAUCAGAAUUUAUGCGAUACAGGUGUAUAAAGUAGAAAGAAAUAUGAUAGGUGGUAUUUACGUCGUAUGCAUUUAACGUGUACUUUGAU